AGAGCGAACGCUGGCGGCAGGCCUAACACAUGCAAGUCGAGCGGCCGUAGCAAUACGGCAGCGGCAGACGGGAGAGUAACACGUGGGAACGCGCCCUUCGGUUCGGAAUAACUCAGGGAAACUUGGGCUAAUACCGGAUACGCCCUUACGGGGAAAGAUUUAUUGCCGAAGGAACGGCCCGCGUCCGAUUAGCUUGUUGGUGAGGUAACGGCUCACCAAGGCGACGAUCGGUAGCUGGUCUGAGAGGAUGACCAGCCUCACUGGGACUGAGACACGGCCCAGACUCCUACGGGAGGCAGCAGUGGGGAAUAUUGGACAAUGGGCGCAAGCCUGAUCCAGCCAUGCCGCGUGGGUGAUGAAGGCCCUAGGGUUGUAAAGCCCUUUCGGCGGGGUAAGAUAAUGACGGUACCCGCAGAAGAAGCCCCGGCUAACUUCGUGCCAGCAGCCGC
rnacentral:rRNA from 1 species